rnacentral:rRNA from 1 species
GACGAACUCUGGCGGCGUGCUUAACACAUGCAAGUCGAACGGAAAGGCCCUGCUUUUGUGGGGUGCUCGAGUGGCGAACGGGUGAGUAACACGUGAGUAACCUGCCCUUGACUUUGGGAUAACUUCAGGAAACUGGGGCUAAUACCGGAUAGGAGCUCCUGCUGCAUGGUGGGGGUUGGAAAGUUUCGGCGGUUGGGGAUGGACUCGCGGCUUAUCAGCUUGUUGGUGGGGUAGUGGCUUACCAAGGCUUUGACGGGUAGCCGGCCUGAGAGGGUGACCGGCCACAUUGGGACUGAGAUACGGCCCAGACUCCUACGGGAGGCAGCAGUGGGGAAUAUUGCACAAUGGGCGGAAGCCUGAUGCAGCAACGCCGCGUGCGGGAUGACGGCCUUCGGGUUGUAAACCGCUUUCGCCUGUGACGAAGCGUGAGUGACGGUAAUGGGUAAAGAAGCACCGGCUAACUACGUGCCAGCGGCCGCGGUGAUACGUAGGGUGCGAGCGUUGUCCGGAUUUAUUGGGCGUAAAGGGCUCGUAGGUGGUUGAUCGCGUCGGAAGUGUAAUCUUGGGGCUUAACCCUGAGCGUGCUUUCGAUGCGGGUUGACUUGAGGAAGGUAGGGGAGAAUGGAAUUCCUGGUGGAGCGGUGGAAUGCGCAGAUAUCAGGAGGAACACCAGUGGCGAAGGCGGUUCUCUGGGCCUUUCCUGACGCUGAGGAGCGAAAGCGUGGGGAGCGAACAGGCUUAGAUACCCUGGUAGUCCACGCUGUAAACGGUGGGUACUAGGUGUGGGGUCCAUUCCACGGGUUCCGUGCCGUAGCUAACGCUUUAAGUACCCCGCCUGGGGAGUACGGCCGCAAGGCUAAAACUCAAAGGAAUUGACGGGGCCCCGCACAAGCGGCGGAGCAUGCGGAUUAAUUCGAUGCAACGCGUAGAACCUUACCUGGGUUUGACAUGGAUCGGGAGUGCUCAGAGAUGGGUGUGCCUCUUUUGGGGUCGGUUCACAGGUGGUGCAUGGCUGUCGUCAGCUCGUGUCGUGAGAUGUUGGGUUAAGUCCCGCAACGAGCGCAACCCUUGUUCACUGUUGCCAGCACGUUAUGGUGGGGACUCAGUGGAGACCGCCGGGGUCAACUCGGAGGAAGGUGGGGAUGACGUCAAGUCAUCAUGCCCCUUAUGUCCAGGGCUUCACGCAUGCUACAAUGGCUGGUACAGAGAGUGGCGAGCCUGUGAGGGUGAGCGAAUCUCGGAAAGCCGGUCUCAGUUCGGAUUGGGGUCUGCAACUCGACCUCAUGAAGUCGGAGUCGCUAGUAAUCGCAGAUCAGCAACGCUGCGGUGAAUACGUUCCCGGGGCU